UACAUACUCCUUUCGUCUGAAAAUAAGUGAUUCGGAUUUGUCCAAAUUCGUAUGUAUCUAGACGUGUUUUAGUGUAUAGAUACAUGCGAAACUAAAUAAAUCCGAGUCACUUAUUUUCGGAUGGAGGAAAUAAAUC
rnacentral:pre_miRNA from 1 species